UCCAAAGCCACUCCAUCACACUCCAGAACAGUAUCCAAAGCCACUCCAUCACACUCCAGAACAGUAUCCAAAGCCACCCCAUCACACUCUAGAACAGUAUCCAAAACUACUCCAUCACACUCCAGAAUGGUAUCCAAAGCCACUCCAUCACACUCCAGAACGGUAUCCAAAGCCACUCCAUCACACUCCAGAAGUAUCCAAAGCCACUCCAUCACACUCUAAAACGGUAUCCAAUGCCACUCUAUCACACUCUAGAACAGUAUCCAAAGCCACCCCAUCACACUCUAGAAUGGUAUCCAAAGCCAUCCCAUCACACUCUAGAAUGGACCUUCGUUUUUCACAUCGCCCUGUCCGUUGAAGACAGUGUACUUGUAACCCCUCCAUCCCCAUUACUCAGGAAGCAAAGGCAGAGGGAUUGCUGUAAGCAAAUUUCAGGCCAAACAGGAGGCCUGAUUCUAUAACAAGAUUCUAUCUUUUAAAAAGCCCAACUUUCUGUACGUUAUUGAGUAAAGUCACUUAACAAUAUUAAACUAAAUUCCUCUAUGGCAGACAGAUUAAUUUUGGAAAAGUCUAGUAAUGCUCAUUUAAAGGAAAGAGAGAAUUUUUAAUGUUUGUGAAGUUACCAGUAAUGUAACAAAGCCUCUGUUUUGCAGGAAGUGGGUCUUACUUAACGCAGAGAAAGUGUGUCAGCUUUUCUUCCAUAUCCUAGACUCAUCAUUGGCUCUGUAGCAGGGAAACACCUUUCUGGAGGAGAAAUGGGGACUGUGGGGACAUAAGGCUGUCUGCUGGCUCUGGUCCUACUUCUGGGUCUGUGUGGAGAAGUAGUUGAGAUCCUGCUGUCCUUAUUAAGUGAGAAGAUCCCAAACAAAGAACACAUUGGCAGUUAGGUGAGCCACUGGAGUGUGGAUGCCAAGUCAGAAUCAUGAAUCGGGUAUGCUAAGUGAAGCAAGCCAAGCACUGGAAAGCAGCGCUGCACGGUCUCACCGGCAGGGGAAAUCGUAACCAGCUGAGGUGGGGAGCAUCAGGGACGGCAAGAGGCAGAUGACUGGGUUCUGAGCAUGAGGCAAGAUCUUCUGUAAGCUUUGGCCUACUGUGGGCAUGAGAACCUAGUGCUCAAAGGUGACAUCUUUGCAUCCCCCUUUGUGGCUGAAUGAGGCUCUGUUGCGCUUCCUGUAUGUGUUCCCUCCUCUGGAUGCCUAGGCUGGUUCUACAGUUGUCUACCAGAACAGAGCAGCAAUGUCUACAGUUUCCAAGGAAAAGAAUAGCUUUUCUUCAAAGCCUCACCAUCAGAACGGCAUCAGAGCAGAAGGGGCCCAGCCUUAGAAAUCCCAUUUGAGAGCCAGCGUGGAGUCCUGUGGCUGUUUUCUACUGCAAACCGAUGUAUCCUGGGUCAUUAUGCUAAUCACAGUGAUUAAAUGACUAUAUACUUCACUUGGUGCCACACUCCUAUAAUUCUAACUCCUGGGGCAGCUGAAGCAGGAAGAUCAGGCCCCGGAAUUCAAGGCCAGUCUGGGCAGCACAAUAACAUUAUGUCUCUAAAACAAAAAUAAAACUGUGGAAAAUUUUUUCUCAGCUCUAGUAUUACAACAUACCUAGAAGUCAUUCAUUUUUUUCAGUUUUGAUCCUGGUAAGUGCUCACUCAAAUUGUGGUCCAUUUAAAACAGCAGUGGUGUGGUAUGA
ensembl:lncRNA